AGUGAACGCUGGCGGUAGGCCUAACACAUGCAAGUCGAACGGCAGCACAGUAAGAGCUUGCUCUUACGGGUGGCGAGUGGCGGACGGGUGAGGAAUACAUCGGAAUCUACUUUUUCGUGGGGGAUAACGUAGGGAAACUUACGCUAAUACCGCAUACGACCUACGUGUGAAAGCAGGGGAUCUUCGGACCUUGCGCGAUUGAAUGAGCCGAUGUCGGAUUAGCUAGUUGGCGGGGUAAAGGCCCACCAAGGCGACGAUGCGUAAAUGGUCUGAGAGGAUAAUCAGCCACACUGGUACUGAGACACGGUCCAGACUCCUACGGGAGGAAGCAGUGGGGGAUAUUGGACAAUGGGCGGAAGCCUGAUCCAGCCAUACCGCGUGGGUGAAGAAGGCCUUCGGGUUGUAAAGCCCUUUUGUUGGGAAAGAAAAGCAGCAGGUUAAUACCCCGCUGGUCUGACGGUAACCAAAGAAUAAGCACCGGCUAACUUCGUG
rnacentral:rRNA from 1 species